UAAGACAGAGGGGGCAAGCGUUGCUCGGAAUCACUGGGCGUAAAGGGCGCGUAGGCGGGGCAGCAAGUCAGUCGUGAAAUCCUUCGGCUCAACCGAAGAACGUCGGCUGAUACUGCUGUUCUUGAGGGGUGCAGAGGAGACUGGAAUUCCCGGUGUAGCGGUGAAAUGUGUAGAGAUCGGGAGGAACACCGGUGGCGAAGGCGGGUCUCUGGGCACUUCCUGACGCUGAGGCGCGAAAGCGUGGGGAGCAAACGGGAUUAGAUACCCCGGUAGUCCACGCCGUAAACGAUGACGACUAGGUGUGGGGAGGUUAGUCCUUUCCGUGCCGCAGCUAACGCAUUAAGUCGUCCGCCUGGGGAGUACGGCCGCAAGGUUGAAACUCAAAUGAAUUGACGG
rnacentral:rRNA from 1 species